rnacentral:rRNA from 1 species
CCUACGGGUGGCAGCAGUGAGGGAUAUUGGUCAAUGGGCGGAAGCCUGAACCAGCCAAGUAGCGUGCAGGAUGACGGCCCUACGGGUUGUAAACUGCUUUUAUACGGGAAUAACGCGCCUUACGUGUAGGGCUUUGCAUGUACCGUAUGAAUAAGGAACGGCUAAUUCCGUGCCAGGAGCCGCGGUAACACGGAAGGUCCGGGCGUUAUCCGGAUUUAUUGGGGUUAAAGGGAGCGUAGGCCGGGUGACAAGCGUGCCGUGAAAUGUCCGGGCUCAACCCGGGCCUUGCGGCGCGAACUGGCGGGCUUGAGUCCGCGGAAGGCAGGCGGAAUGCGUGGUGUAGCGGUGAAAUGCUUAGAUAUGACGAAGAACCCCGAUUGCGAAGGCAGCUUGCUGCAGCGGAACUGACGCUGAUGCUCGAAAGCGCGGGUAUCGAACAGGAUUAGAUACCCCAGUAGUC